UACGUAGGGUGCAAGCGUUAAUCGGAAUUACUGGGCGUAAAGCGUGCGCAGGCGGUGAUGUAAGUCAGUUGUGAAAUCCCCGGGCUCAACCUGGGAACUGCAUUUGUGACUGCAUCGCUGGAGUGCGGCAGAGGGGGAUGGAAUUCCGCGUGUAGCAGUGAAAUGCGUAGAUAUGCGGAGGAACACCGAUGGCGAAGGCAAUCCCCUGGGCCUGCACUGACGCUCAUGCACGAAAGCGUGGGGAGCAAACAGG
rnacentral:rRNA from 1 species